AUUAGGGACAACUUCCAACUUUAUGACCAAUUUUAUGGUAGUUGUUGAUGUAUAUAAUGCUAUAUCAGGAUUAAAAUGAUUGAGUCUUGGGGGCAUCUUUGUUAUCCUAUUUAAAACUAUGCAACUAGCAUUCCAGUUUAAGCAAAAAAAGCAAAAAUAGGUGUAAUCCCUAUUUACCCGGAAAUUGCGGUUAAUUGGGACGAAAUGAGAAAUUUGCUAGGGUUGGCACUACUUGGUUUUAAUUUAUUUAUUUUAUUUACUUAUGAUUAAUUUAUAUUUACUUAGGAAAUGAUCCACGACAGAUUUGUCCAGUAAGUUGUGAGACAAUUAAAAAAAACAUCUAUUUCAUCACUUAAAAUUAGUUCAGCGCAAUCGGACAACUCCGAAUGAACAUUGACGGAGACCACGCUACCGUGGACAUUAUUGUAGUCCCAAAGGAUUCUGUAUAUGGGAGAGUAAGCACCUAAAUUCGAACGAGUGAGCUUUCUUAUAAACGGUUUAUAUUUCUUCGUUCUUGGUAAGCUUCUAUUGCUGUUUUUAAUAUUAAGGGAUCACAUCUCUUAUAAGGCUUUGCACUCUUUGAUACGUAAACGCGAGGCAUAUCUAAAAAUAGAAAACAAUACGUAACUGAUAAUAUAAAUAUUUACCAAACAAUAAAAUAACACAUUGAUAAUUUUAAAUAAAAGUUCUAGACAAA